GUUGAAGAUGACUCACUACCACCACGUCCAACCUCCAAUUUGAAGGAAAAUGGAAAGGGGAAAGUUGAACCAACAGUACCUUUAUGAAGGCAUGGCCUGAAAAUGGAAGAUUAUCACUUCUCUUUGCAUCACACUGGCAGAUCAGUGUGGAAAUGGAUGUGGACGCGGUGCUGCUGCCUGAGAUUAGCAGGAAGCAAUUCUUUUCCCAUUUGGAGAGACCCCAAUAUUACCUAUAUUGCCUUGAUCUGCUGUCUGAGGGCUUUUUCGGGCCAGGAGAUGGUUUUGCAGCAGCAGAAGACUAUGAACUGGGCUUUGGGAGAUAGGAUCUCUGGUUGUAUUCUGGCUAUCCACACUCUGAAAGAGGACCGUGACAGAGAAUUUGAGUAUCCUACCAAUAUACCUACAAAAGGAUGAAAGAAGAUUUGGAGUCAAGGGAAAACAAGGGCAAUAAAAUAGAUGCUUACCACCUGCUCUCAUACAGUUGCUAGAAGAGGACUGCAUAUUUGGUUCUAAGUUUUUGGAAGAUAAAGCAAAAAUAGAAACACAACUCAUUAUAAAAUUUUGGUGUAUCCAUAAAAUAAAAACAAAUGACCUGUUUGAGAAAACUCUUUCUGAGUUUGAGCUCUAAAAGGAACUUCUCUAUGGAAUCCUUAGAAUAUGAGAAGGCUGUGAUAUAGGGGAGAAACCCCUUGACAUUCCUAUAUUGGGUUUAGGUCUAAUUUCACUCAGUAGUUUUUAAAUGUUACUCCUUGUAGACAGAUGAUGAGACGCCAAAGUACAGCUGAGUGAAAGCGGUUCCUUUGAAAACUAA
rnacentral:antisense_RNA from 1 species